rnacentral:tRNA from 1 species
AAGGAUUUAAGUUAAAUAAACUAGUAACCUUCAAAGUUACCAUUAAGAACUUAUAAUCUUAAGCCUUA